UGGUCUCAUGUGGUGAGGGGAAACCGGAGUGCCCGGAGGAUACCCACCUGUCGGUUAUGGUGACCACCUACCAAACUCACAUGCGUCGGGAACGGGGAUAUACCAACCACUGCGAGGGAUUCUUUCACAUAUCGCAUCGAAAUGGACGCGUUGAUCGGGUAACAAGAGGCAUUCCAAAACCACAGACAACCCGGAGCCUUUCGCUAGUUCCGGAUGUGAAACUCCUAUCAAACUGCAACUCAGUUAACAGCCCCAGUGCAAUACCAUUUUUCAGCUGAGGGACAUUAAGCGUUUAAUCUUUUAGUCUAAAGUGAAGAGACUCGGCUUGCCAUUAUUUUCGAUGCGGAUUCAACGCUAUGUUCAUCAUCGUAUUGUGGUCGGAAAUUGAUUGCGACGGGCGGCGACACAUGUCGUGAACAGUGCAAACAUGUCGACGCUGAAAGGUGUCGUGUUUCCGGUUUUGAAAUAUAACACGUCUGAUAAAUUAUGACAGGUUUAGGUGAAACAAGCCCUAUCAGUUUCAACCCUUCGAUUUACCGUGGAAUUACGUCCUUCAAGUGCGCUCUACUCAAGUCGCUCACGUCGGCCAACUGACGCCCGUCGACUUUUGUAUUCCUACGCUCUAAAUAGCGCUAAGUAUUUCUAAAAGUCUUAUUAAGCAUCUAAAAGAAGUCCGAAAUGUCUUCGGGGUGUGGCAACAGAUCGUCUCUGAAAAUAUCGCGAUUUGGAUCAAACUCUCACGCCGAUUCUAGUGUAGUAAUUAAUGUCCAUUGUGUCCCGACUCAUUUUCUUUAUAUUGCCCCAAAAAGCAACUGUAUGACUUAGCCUGCAGUGGUUUCCGACGGCCGCUGAAAGUGUUUGAAAACUGAUAGUUUCCACGUUGAAAUUCAAGGCUCCUUUUUGUUGGGCAAUUGUGCGGCUGUUAAACGGGUUCAUCCCUUACAAAUGAGGACAACAAUUAGAGGACCACGGAGCCUAGACCUGUCAAAACAGACCGUAAUUGUGUUUUUUAUUUUAUACAAUACGCAACAUGGAUUCUCUUACCUGAAAUGAAGCGAAAUAAAUUGAAUUAAACGAA